UUUUCUUCAAAAUCAUAUGUUAAUUCCUUCACACAUAUAUACCAAAUUAUGAUUAGCUGUAGAGAGUAAAAUGUUGGACUUCUAAUGUGAGAAUUGAAUAUGGACUGAUUUGGUAUUCACAUGAUUUAUUUUGGUCUUGUUCCAGUGAAAAAAAAUAGUAAGAAUUAAUGCUCCUACUUGUUUAAUUUGUUUCCGUCAUUUAAUUGUCUCUUAAUUUUAAGUACAAUAGGUAGUGUAGCACUAAAUUACAAUUGAUUCUUGGUGCUCUACAAUUCAUUUCUCUUGUUGCAUUGUUCUUUUUCUAUCUUGGGCAGUAAGAUCAUGAUAAUGACUUCAUGGAUGAUGUGUUGUUUUAUUUUUAACAUUUGUACAAGUAUAGACACUAAUCCUCUUCUUUGUUUUUUUUUUCUCUUCUUCUUUGUUAUAUGUGACAUCAAAUUUGAGUUCUCUUUCGACUCCACCCUUGCAUAUCGAUGAAUUAUUUCGAGUCAGCCUCAUCUUGUUCGAGUUGCUGGAAAGUUAAAUUACAGGUCCCGAAAAGUCGAAAGUGGGUUGUAUACAUGUUGUACACAGCGGUAUACGCUAAUAUUCAGGCCCAAAACGUAAAAACACAGGGCUGAGGCGGAAUAUAUAUGUUUGGAAGCAAGAAAUACCUGAAAAGAGCUAAUAUAUGCGCUCAUAUACACUGAUAUACAUCCACCGUAUACCAAAAAUGGGAUUGGGUUAAAACCCCAAAAAUUCCAACGAAUUUGGCCCAAAAGGAGGCCCAAAUUCAUUUUCUCCUUUAC
rnacentral:lncRNA from 1 species